UACGUAGGGGGCAAGCGUUGUCCGGAUUUAUUGGGCGUAAAGAGCGUGUAGGCGGCUGGGUAGGUCCGCUGUGAAAACUCGAGGCUUAACCUCGAGACGUCGGUGGAAACCAUCCAGCUAGAGUCCGGAAGAGGAGAGUGGAAUUCCUGGUGUAGCGGUGAAAUGCGCAGAUAUCAGGAAGAACACCCGUGGCGAAAGCGGCUCUCUGGAACGGUACUGACGCUGAGACGCGAAAGCGUGGGGAGCGAACAGG
rnacentral:rRNA from 1 species